GAGCCACCUUAAAAAUAUCAUUUGCAUUGCGAAAUGUCGCUAAAAAUUGUCCCUUAGGACAACGCAUUAAGUGUUUUUCCACGUUUGACGCAUCCUCGUUCCCAGGGCCUAAUUUUCAACGAGUGACAGAGUGAAAAUGGCUCUGGAGACGAGAAUGCGUUUGACGACAUUGUAAAGGCACGUUUCAACACUUGCAAGUUUUGCUGCGAUUUCUAGUGCGAUUUUCGUCUUCUGACGGAUGUGAAUAAGUGGAUGAGUCGUGAAUGUUCAUAUAAGGAGUUCAUGCAUUCAGAACAUUCGUAAGUUAUUUACUUGUUCACGUGCAUCAGAAGAAGAAAAUCGCAUUAAAACUCGCAGCAAAAGUUGCAAGUGUAAACGGGCUUUAAGAAAGGUCUAUUGACAACUCCAGAUCUGUUCUGUAGGCCACACAACUAUUCCGUAUAUUUUCUCCAUUUUAUUAACCCGCAAAAGAAGUUUACAUUCUACAUGACAUUGACAAAUAUGAGACUUGUUAUAAAACUUAUAAUGUAAACUCUGGAAACGUUCAGCUAACUAGUAUAUGGCUGUCAGUAUUCUAUAUGCGGUAACUCAAGAGAUAUUAGUGCUGUCAUAAAACGCGGUAACCAACAAUUUGAAUUGACGCGACGAUGCCUCUGAUCCCUUGGGCAUCAAUUUCAAGUGUAGCACUAAUUUCUUUUCCCUUGCUUCCAGUGGCAGGUGCGCCAGUUUCCACAGGGAGG